AUAUGUGAAACACUAAGUUUACCUGUAGAAUAGCCCCAGGAUGUAACGUGACCAGUCCUCCGUAAUACACACCUACACACUUGGUAUUUUCACACGUGAGAGCUCAUAGCAGACGCCAGUAACCAAAAAAGUCCUUGUAUAAGGCAGCCAAAACUAACAGAAUUUAUUGGAUGAUACGGAAACGGUAAAGCACACUAUGUUCAACACAAGUGACGUACAAUUUUGAGCCACCUUGUUAAAAUGGAUGAAUGGAAUGAAAUCGGCAAAUCGGCAGCAACCCUCAAAAUUAUAUGGACCCUGAUACGAAAUUUUCACUUAAACAGACACUCCACCAAUUAAGGUAAUCUAUUUAAAUAAAAUAUGCAUGUGCCCCUAACAUGUAUAGGCUAAAACAGAAGAAUCAGGAGGAUGAGCCAUUCCAGCUAUCCUCUCAAAAUUAUAUUGUAUUUAAGGACCCACAAAACGGAGCUUUCACUUUUUAACAGACACUCGUGUAAUUAAGGUUUCAACUAGAAAUUUCAUGCAUGUGCCCUUAACAUGUAAGCUUCAACAGAAGUAGGACGUCGUUAUUAUCCUGAGGAUGAGCUAUUCCAGGUAUCCACACAUAACUGGGGGCUGCGCGAUAGAGGAUGGAGGACUUGCAUCAUACUCGUAAAUAAAUACAUCGUAUUAUGUUAUACAUGGAAGGUACUGAAGAACACAUCGCAACACAUUGAAGUACACCUCGUAUUAUAAAAUAUUCUAUUUAACCAUAUAACGUUAUCGAACCGACAUACACUACAUUAUACAUCAUUCCUCGAAUUUAUAAUAUCGCAAAUGUAACACAAACACGAAUUACAUUACACUACUAAACCAUAUGCAGUUCAGAAGGUCGACUUAGUUAAAAUAAAUGUUUAU